GCCUGAGUGGCUCAGUGGUUGAGCGUCUGCCUUCAGCACAGGUCGUGAUCCUGGUGUCUCGGAUCGAGUCCCAGAUCGGGCU
rnacentral:tRNA from 1 species